GAUAGCAUUAGUAUUUGGCUUUGUGAGUAGCAUACAGGUACUUUAUAGUUCCACUGCGCGGAUUGCUAUUCCUGGAACUAAAAGGUUUCUUUCAAGAUAAUCCGCAUAUGAAAUGAGUGGGUGGGUCGUCACAUAGGUCCUGGUCGUCUGGAUCUAAGUCAUCGAAACAGUCUUGACAAAGAUGACCGUUAUCUAAAUGGUAGACGGAACGUAUCAACCGAACACAGAGGCAAGACUGAACAUCCUCCGUCGCUUCCAGAUCGAAUGCGGGUACGCCCCGUCUGAGUCCUCUAUGUUAGGGUUGAUGAAUUCGCCAUCUAUUCUGUACACACAUACGAAAACAGUUAACAUAUAUUUUAUAAUUUUA